CUCUCUGACUCUCGAUCUGCAAUCCUAACACUGCAUCCACCAACCGUUGAAACCCUGCCACAUCUCCGGUCAUCAAUAGCAAUAGAAUGUUGUUGAGCUCCCACCUGUUGCCAAUCUGAAGAGGGUACUGGAUAACCUGAAAGAUUAUGCAAUAAGAGCUCUCGUUAAUGUUGUUGAUCAUCUUGGCACUGUUGCUUACAAAUUAAAUGACUUGUUUGAGCAAGAAGUAUUAGAUGUCUCUACUGUGGGGUUAAAGAUUUCAUGUCUCAAUCAGUUCUUCUUUUAUGGUUUCAGAUCCUUCCACAUGAUUGUAGAGAAUGGACAGUCAUGAUCUAUCCAUGUUCAUAGGGAAGUUUCUUCUCAUCUAGUUUGUAAUUCUAUGAUUCUUAAUCCUAAACCAUAUAUUUUACCAAUUCAAAUUGACAAAUUGUGCAAUUUAUGAAAAAAAAAAAAAACUUUUAGGAGUUGCUUUUUCUUUUAGCGAAACUUGCAACGUGAUUCUAGUUGUAAUAUACAUUGCUAUCAUUUGCUCUGCAAAUUUUAGAUGAUUUUUCUUUCAUAGUUAGAUUUUAAAACUUUAUUCAUUUCACUACUGCUUUGCAAGAUCAUUUUAGUCCAACAAACUGGUUCUUACUGUUCAAGUUUCAACUUCUGCAGACAAAUCAGUUGGAUGUUCAGCUGAAAGCAGUGCAGUUGCUUGGUGACCUGUUUGCUUUACCUGACUGCAAUAUUAAAGAAACAUUUUAGCUACUUCUCUUCUUCUUCUUCUUUUUUU